GACGAACGCUGGCGGCGUGCUUAACACAUGCAAGUCGAGCGGUAAGGCCCUUUCGGGGGUACACGAGCGGCGAACGGGUGAGUAACACGUGGGUGACCUGCCCUCAGCUCUGGGAUAAGCCUGGGAAACCGGGUCUAAUACCGGAUAUGACUCCAUGACGCAUGUUGUGGGGUGGAAAGCCUUGUGCGGCUGAGGAUGGGCCCGCGGCCUAUCAGCUUGUUGGUGGGGUGAUGGCCUACCAAGGCGACGACGGGUAGCCGGCCUGAGAGGGCGACCGGCCGCACUGGGACUGAGACACGGCCCAGACUCCUACGGGAGGCAGCAGUGGGGAGUCUUGCGCAAUGGGCGAAAGCCUGACGCAGCGACGCCGCGUGAGGGAUGACGGCCU
rnacentral:rRNA from 1 species